AGAGAGAGAGAGUACUGUUAUAUAUCCUGUAAUGGCCACACAGCCUUACACGCUUGCAUGCACUCCCGUCUAAUUUACAAUGAAGGAGGCAAGUUUUUCUUUCUUGGCAAGGAAUUAAAAAGUCAAAUUACAAGCACCGACCUAGCUAGUUCGAAAUUUUGACCCGGUCAGUGCAUGAGUUACGUCCGAGGACGUAGAAAUUGACGAGAAAUUAGUGAUGAAACAAUAUGAAGAUCGGCACACGCUUUAAUUUAAUUCACGGCAAUGCUUGAAGACAAGCGAUCGAGUUAAAUUAGUGGUUCGAUCGGUAGGCGACUGAGCUUAUAUUAAUCGGCCAUAUAUUGGACCAGGCAAAUUAAUGGCGACCUCAUCAACAGUUAACUACACUAGCUUGGAAAUUUCAACGAGGCCAUCUAGAUUUAUAGCCUGCACCUGCAGCGAGCAUAUGAAGAUUUUUGCCAAGAACGUAACCAUCAGAGAUUAUUUACCUGCAGUUGCAACUGAAAUCAAGUUGGAAGCAGGGUUUUACUAUUUCGUUUUCUAGCAAAAUUUAAUUUCGGUACUUUUUGACAGAUAUUACUUGGAAGUUUAACAUAUCUUGAAUCAAUUUAAGAAAUUUUGAUCAAAUUCACAAAAAAUUAAAAAGAAAAAAGAAAUUUCCGGGCGAGAUAUAUAUGCUUGCCGGUAAGGAGCGAAAUUUCAAAAAUUCGUUCCGAAAUUGCAAUCUCUGAUUAGAAGUUCUGCAUUGUUUGCACUCUGCAACAACUACGCGCAUUCAGGAACAAAUCAUGCACAUGCCUGCUGCCGAUCUAUUCGUCUUCAUGUGUAUAUAUAUAUACUAUAUAUUAGCAUGUCUGAAUGAAUUAAUGAGUCCAAGUUUUAGUUAAAUUUGUAGCCAGGGCGGUUGAUCGAUCGACGAGCUCUGCCUACGUACGGCUUGAACUGAAUCAAAGACAGGAAUAACGCAGGAAAAUACCUCAUAUUCUUCAGGAUGGUCGAGAGAUCGCUCAGUAAAUUAACCUCCUGUACAAAAAAUUCAAGGGUAGUUAGAUGAAGAACGCGAAACCAGUCCAGUCAAUCAAAUAGUUUAGCCGGUAAUUUACAUUGUCAUAGCCAUGGCUGUACAAAUAAUUCCUAUUGAGAAUUACUUGAUAUUCAAAUACAUUGCACUAUAUGCGUAUGGAAAGGCAUACAUGAUGCAUGCCUUUCCAUGCCUGAACAAAUCCCUGAAUGCCUUUCCAUGCCUGAACAAAUCCCUGAAUGCCUCAAGAGCUAACAAGCUAACACAAACCAACUUAUGUAUAGGUUACAAUAUAAAAACAUAUGUAUGCAAUACCACUACUUGAUUAUCUGUCUUCUUAAAUAUAUAUCUGGGGAUGAAAUAUUAAUAGCAAGUUAUGUAAGAUGGGUUCAAACAAGGGACAGACACAAACACUACUUGAUUAUCUGUCUUCUUAAAUAUAUAUACAUCUGGGGUUGAAAUAUUAAUAGUAAGUUAUGUAAGAUGGGUUCAAACAAGGGACAGACACAAGAGAGCAUCACCAUCUUCCAUGACUAUUCCAGCGUAUUUCAUAAGAACAUUGAUCGUGAAUUACCGUAGGGUUUUGGGAUACUUUGCCUAUAUAAGGCGCUCAUAUACAUAGCCCAAAAUGACACAGCUCCAAAAAGCUAGCUAGCAGAAAACUCACACGAACACCUUAUCAAUUAACGAUUUAAUUGAUUGAGGUUUUCUCCACUGAGAUCCCUAACUGCAAAAUGGCCGAUCAGAAAAAAUACAUGGCAUCGGGACUUAGUCCUGAGAUUAAGCUUAAGAUGGGUGGCAACAGACCACGCAAAGAGUAUCAACCUCAGAAGAAUGGCCAGCAAACGACAACUGAUCCUGCAUAUGGAGCUCUCGUCAGGCCAGUUGAACCACCGAAGUCGUGGGAUAACACAAAAAAGAACAAGUUGCCUUUCAACCCUUCAACUAAUCACGAUAAUGGAACUUCGAAUGGCACUACGAAUUCACGUCGAUAAAAUUGAGGUCAUCUAGUUGUCUCCGAUGCUAGCUGAAGACUAUAUGCAUAUAAGCUCACUACUCAAAGCUCGUGUGAAUAAAUAAAGGUGUAAUAUAUAGGAGCUACAAAUAAAGGUUAUGAAAAAAAUUUCUAGACAACAGAUGCAUUUAUUAUAGUAUACUCAAUAAAAUUUGUACUCAUCCUUAUCAGGAUGUAUCAGACCCUUAUGCACAUGUUAAUUUCUUUUAGGAGUCAUACACAUACAUAAAUAAAGUUGGACAACCCUAUGUAAAUAGCUGCUGAUGAAUUUAUUCAUUCUUGUACA